GUAAUAUUUCGACAACUCGCAAUGACACUAACUGUAGAAAUCCCAACAGCACACUUUCUAAAUAACGUCAGUUUAUUAAGGCCUGGCCAUUCGCCUUCCAACAUGGCGGCACAUUGAGCUGUACUAUUUCACAGAGAUGGAACGUAAGCCCUCCUAGCAAUGACGGCCAGAAUUGUCGCUUACCGCCCAGAGAAAACACGCAAAACUGCCAUGAAGGAUAUGGCCACGAAUACGAAAAUGACUAUGACGAGAGAUGUUAUGAUGAGAUGACGAACGAACCCUGCCAGCCGAUGCAAUAUUGUAAUUAUGGUUACAGAGAAAAUUAUUAUGAAUCGAGAAAUUCUUACCAAUCGGAAAAUUUGAUUAAUAACGCUUAAUAUAUACCAAAGAUAUAUAAAAUAAAAAUAAAUCUACUUUUA